GUUGGUUUUCUUCGGACACUCUUCAAGGUGCUGGCAUGGUUGUCGUCAGCUCGUGCCGUGAGGUGUCGGGUUAAGUCCCAUAACGAGCGCAACCCUUACUGUUAGUUGCCAGCGGGUCAAGCCGGGAACUCUAACGGGACUGCCACCGUAAGGUGAGAGGAAGGUGGGGAUGACGUCAAAUCAGCACGGCCCUUAUGUCCAGGGCUACACACGUGUUACAAUGGUCGGUACAAAGGGCAGCUACACCGCGAGGUGAUGCUAAUCUCUAAAGCCGGUCUCAGUUCGGAUCGAAGUCUGCAACCCGACUUCGUGAAGUUGGAUUCGCUAGUAAUCGCGCAUCAGCCAUGGCGCGGUGAAUACGUUCCCGGGCCUU
rnacentral:rRNA from 1 species